rnacentral:lncRNA from 1 species
AAUAAAUGAGAUUUGCAAUCUUGUUCACCUUCACUUACGUUAAAAAAGUGAGCUUCCACCUCACUACUCACAUAUUAAUUAAAUGCUGACACAUUUUGCUUGCUUUCUUACAGGUGAAUUCCUGUAACACAAUCUUCACUUAUGUUUUUAUUAACACGUAAAACAUCUUUACCUCCACUGUCUUCUCUUCAUAAAAAGAUAAACACUACAGAUUGCUACAGAUGAAUGCUACUGACAUGCUAAAGACUAUAUGACAAUUCCUUUUAAAGUCAGACACUCAAUUGUGAAAGAUGUGUGAACAAUCCAAUGAUGGAUGUCCGUUAGUUCAGUGCUGUCAAGCUGAGUUACUACUCCACAUCUCUGAUACUGAUGCUGUUUUUGCAGUCAUGAUUGAGUCGUUGAAGAAAAAAGCACUCUACAGAGUUCUGCCCAACUGUGUCCAAACAAGCAGCAACUUGAAAUAUCAUUGGCUUACUCAGCAGCAUCAGAACCCACAAAGCAAAGAGGUUAGAUCCAUCCAAGAGACUUUUCUGCAGCAGUAAAUGGAUUUGCCCUCUUUAGAGCAGGGAGCACAGCUCCAACACAAUUAUUCUUAUUGGAACAGAC